CCUACGGGAGGCAGCAGUGGGGGAUAUUGCACAAUGGGGGGAACCCUGAUGCAGCGACGCCGCGUGGGUGAAGAAGUACCUCGGUGCGUAAAGCCCUUUCUGCAGGGAAGAAAAUGACGGUACCUGACGAAGAUGCCCCGGCUAACUACGUUCCAGCAGCCGCGGUAAUACGUAGGGGGCAAGCGUUAUCCGGAUUUACUGGGUGUAAAGGGGGCGUAGACGGCGGUGCAAGCCCGGAGUGAAAGCCCGGGGCUCAACCCGGGGACUGCAGUGGAAACUGGCAAGCUGGAGUGCGGGAGGGGCAGGCGGAAUUCGUGGUGUAGCGGUGAAAUGCGUAGAUAUCAGGAGGAACACCGGUGGCGAAGGCGGCCUGCUGGACCGGAACUGACGUUGAGGCUCGAAAGCGUGGGGAGCAAACAGGAUUAGAUACCCUGGUAGUC
rnacentral:rRNA from 1 species